rnacentral:rRNA from 1 species
UGCAAGUCGAACGGAUCAGGGGAGCUUGCUUUUCUGGUUAGUGGCGAACGGGUGAGUAACACGUGAGUAACCUGCCCUCCACUCUGGGAUAACUCCAGGAAACCGGGGCUAAUACUGGAUACGACUCGAACAGGCAUCUGUAUCGGGUGGAAAGAUUUAUUGGUGGAGGAUGGACUCGCGGCCUAUCAGCUUGUUGGUGAGGUAAUGGCUCACCAAGGCGACGACGGGUAGCCGGCCUGAGAGGGCGAUCGGCCACACUGGGACUGAGACACGGCCCAGACUCCUACGGGAGGCAGCAGUGGGGAAUAUUGCACAAUGGGCGAAAGCCUGAUGCAGCGACGCCGCGUGAGGGAUGAAGGCCUUCGGGUUGUAAACCUCUUUCAGCGGGGAAGAAGCAGCCAGGUUUUCUUGGGUGUGACGGUACCUGCAGAAGAAGCACCGGCUAACUGCGUGCCAGCAGCCGCGGUAAUACGUAGGGUGCAAGCGUUGUCCGGAAUUAUUGGGCGUAAAGAGCUUGUAGGCGGUUUGUCGCGUCUGCUGUGAAAUUUCGGGGCUCAACCCCGAACUUGCAGUGGGUACGGGCAGACUGGAGUGUGGUAGGGGAGACUGGAAUUCCUGGUGUAGCGGUGAAAUGCGCAGAUAUCAGGAGGAACACCGAUGGCGAAGGCAGGUCUCUGGGCCACUACUGACGCUGAGAAGCGAAAGCAUGGGGAGCGAACAGGAUUAGAUACCCUGGUAGUCCAUGCCGUAAACGUUGGGAACUAGGUGUGGGUCUCAUUCCACGAGAUCCGUGCCGCAGCUAACGCAUUAAGUUCCCCGCCUGGGGAGUACGGCCGCAAGGCUAAAACUCAAAGGAAUUGACGGGGG